GUAAGGCCGAUGUAUGCGACAUAUGUCACCCCAUUGAUCACCGGGGUGGAUUGGGCUGAUCUGGCUGGCUAGGCAGAGGUCCCCUUCUUCCCCUACUGCUCCGUGUGUGUCCCUCCUGAAGCUGUGUGCUCGAUUGAAGAAGACGACCACCCUUGAUAGAAGAGGACUGUUUCCUUGGUCGAGGGUAUAUGAGUAGCUAUGUUCCCCUGCUAGAACCUCCAGACCAGCUGUCAAGUUACAGUAAGGCCUCUGGUCAACAGCAGGGUAUUGGUAGUUAAGUUUUUUGGGAAUCAAAAGUGUUUUGGGAAUCAAAAUACGUGGAUUU
rnacentral:snRNA from 1 species